AUGCCAUGGUGUGGGCACUCUUUUUGAAGGUCCUUAUACCUUUCCCAUACAUCAUAAAGUGAUUCUCCUUCCCUUUGCCUAAAAGUAUUCAACUCGAUUUUCAAUUU